rnacentral:rRNA from 1 species
UACGUAGGGUGCGAGCGUUAAUCGGAAUUACUGGGCGUAAAGCGUGCGCAGGCGGUUCGUUGUGUCGGCGGUGAAAGCCCCGGGCUUAACCUGGGAAUGGCCGUCGAAACUGGCGAACUGGAGUGUGGCAGAGGGGGGUGGAAUUCCGCGUGUAGCAGUGAAAUGCGUAGAUAUGCGGAGGAACACCGAUGGCGAAGGCAAUCCCCUGGGCCUGCACUGACGCUCAUGCACGAAAGCCAGGGGAGCGAACGGG